GCUUACACAUGCAGUCGCACGAGAACGCUUCAGCUUGCUGAAGCUAGUAAAGUGGCGCACGGGUGAGUAACGCGUGGGUAAUCUACCCCCGAAUUGGGGAUAACUCCGCGAAAGCGGGGCUAAUACCGGAUAAUAUCUUAUUGACUUUGGUUACUAUGAUCAAAGGUGGCCUCUACUUGUAAGCUACUGUUUGGGGAUGAGCCCGCGUACCAUUAGCUUGUUGGUAGGGUAAUGGCCUACCAAGGCGACGAUGGUUAGCUGGUCUGAGAGGAUGAUCAGCCACACUGGAACUGACACACGGUCCAGACUCCUACGGGAGGCAGCAGUGAGGAAUUUUGCGCAAUGGGGGAAACCCUGACGCAGCAACGCCGCGUGAGUGAUGAAGGCUUUCGGGUCGUAAAGCUCUGUCAAGUGGGAAGAACCCACAUGGUGAUAAUACCACCAUGUGUUGACGGUACCACUGAAGGAAGCACCGGCUAACUCCGUGCCAGCAGCCGCGGUAAUACGGGGGGUGCAAGCGUUAUUCGGAAUUACUGGGCGUAAAGAGCGCGUAGGCGGUCUCUUAAGUCAGGUGUGAAAGCCCGGGGCUUAACCCCGGAAGUGCACUUGAAACUAAGGGGCUUGAGUAUGGGAGAGGGAAGUGGAAUUCCUGGUGUAGCGGUGAAAUGCGUAGAUAUCAGGAGGAACAUCGGUGGCGAAGGCGACUUCCUGGACUAAUACUGACGCUGAGGCGCGAAGGCGUGGGGAGCAAACAGGAUUAGAUACCCUGGUAGUCCACGCAGUAAACGGUGAACACUAGGUGUAGCGGGUAUUGACCCCUGCUGUGCCGCAGCAAACGCAUUAAGUGUUCCGCCUGGGGAGUACGACCGCAAGGUUAAAACUCAAAGGAAUUGACGGGGGCCCGCACAAGCGGUGGAGCAUGUGGUUUAAUUCGACGCAACGCGAAGAACCUUACCUGGAUUUGACAUCCCGGGAAUCUUUUGGAAACUUGAGAGUGCCCUUCGGGGAGCCCGGUGACAGGUGCUGCAUGGCUGUCGUCAGCUCGUGUCG
rnacentral:rRNA from 1 species